rnacentral:rRNA from 1 species
GACGAACGCUGGCGGCGUGCUUAACACAUGCAAGUCGAGCGGAAAGGCCCUGUGCGGGGUACUCGGGCGGCGGCCGGGGGAGUAACACGUGCGUAAGCUGCCCCUCCCUUGGGGAUAACCACCGGAAACGGACGCUAAUACCCGAUCCGACCAAUCCUCGCAUGCGGAGGGGGUGGAAAGUUGUGCGGUGUGGGAUGUGCUCGCGGCUUAUCAGCUCGUUGGUGGGGUAAUGGCCUACGAACGCUUCGAAGGGUCGCCGGCCUGAGAGGGUAGCCGGCGACACUGGUACUGCGACACGGCGCAGACUCCUACGUGAGGCAGCAGUGGGGAAUAUUGGACAAUGGCCGGAAGCCUGAUCCAGCAACGCCGCGUGAGGGAUGACGGCCUUCGGGUUGUAAACCUAUUUCACCUGUGACGAAGCGAAAGUGACGGUAGCAGGAGAAGAAGCCCCGGCCAGCUACGUG